rnacentral:rRNA from 1 species
GAUGAACGCUGGCGGCGUGCUUAACACAUGCAAGUCGAACGGAGCUAUGACACGGAGUUUUCGGAUGAAGUGCUAUUGCUUAGUGGCGGACGGGUGAGUAACACGUGAGCAACCUACCUUUUGCAGGGGAAUAACUCUGGGAAACCAGAGCUAAUACCGCAUGCCGUGCGCUUGGGGCAUCCCAGGUGCAUGAAAGGAGCAAUCCGGCAGAAGAUGGGCUCGCGUCCGAUUAGGUAGUUGGAGAGGUAAUGGCUCCCCAAGCCGACGAUCGGUAGCCGGACUGAGAGGUCGAUCGGCCACAUUGGGACUGAGACACGGCCCAGACUCCUACGGGAGGCAGCAGUGGGGAAUAUUGGGCAAUGGGCGGAAGCCUGACCCAGCGACGCCGCGUGAAGGAGAAGGCUUUCGAGUUGUAAACUUCUUUGAGGAGGGACGAAGAUGACGGUACCUCCAGAACAAGCCACGGCUAACUACGUGCCAGCAGCCGCGGUAAAC